AGAGUUUGAUCAUGGCUCAGGACGAACGCUGGCGGCGUGCCUAAUACAUGCAAGUAGAACGCUGAAGAGAGGAGCUUGCUCUUCUUGGAUGAGUUGCGAACGGGUGAGUAACGCGUAGGUAACCUGCCCUGUAGCGGGGGAUAACUAUUGGAAACGAUAGCUAAUACCGCAUAACAAUGGAUGACACAUGUCAUUUAUUUGAAAGGGGCAAUUGCUCCACUACAAGAUGGACCUGCGUUGUAUUAGCUAGUAGGUGAGGUAAUGGCUCACCUAGGCGACGAUACAUAGCCGACCUGAGAGGGUGAUCGGCCACACUGGGACUGAGACACGGCCCAGACUCCUACGGGAGGCAGCAGUAGGGAAUCUUCGGCAAUGGGGGCAACCCUGACCGAGCAACGCCGCGUGAGUGAAGAAGGUUUUCGGAUCGUAAAGCUCUGUUGUAAGUCAAGAACGGGUGUGAGAGUGGAAAGUUCACACUGUGACGGUAGCUUACCAGAAAGGGACGGCUAACUACGUGCCAGCAGCCGCGGUAAUACGUAGGUCCCGAGCGUUGUCCGAAUUUAUUGGGCGUAAAGCGAGCGCAGGCGGUUUGAUAAGUCUGAAGUUAAAGGCUGUGGCUCAACCAUAGUUCGCUUUGGAAACUGUCAAACUUGAGUGCAGAAGGGGAGAGUGGAAUUCCAUGUGUAGCGGUGAAAUGCGUAGAUAUAUGGAGGAACACCGGUGGCGAAAGCGGCUCUCUGGUCUGUAACUGACGCUGAGGCUCGAAAGCGUGGGGAGCGAACAGGAUUAGAUACCCUGGUAGUCCACGCCGUAAACGAUGAGUGCUAGGUGUUGGAUCCUUUCCGGGAUUCAGUGCCGCAGCUAACGCAUUAAGCACUCCGCCUGGGGAGUACGACCGCAAGGUUGAAACUCAAAGGAAUUGACGGGGGCCCGCACAAGCGGUGGAGCAUGUGGUUUAAUUCGAAGCAACGCGAAGAACCUUACCAGGUCUUGACAUCCCGAUGCUAUUUCUAGAGAUAGAAAGUUACUUCGGUACAUCGGUGACAGGUGGUGCAUGGUUGUCGUCAGCUCGUGUCGUGAGAUGUUGGGUUAAGUCCCGCAACGAGCGCAACCCCUAUUGUUAGUUGCCAUCAUUCAGUUGGGCACUCUAGCGAGACUGCCGGUAAUAAACCGGAGGAAGGCGGGGAUGACGUCAAAUCAUCAUGCCCCUUAUGACCUGGGCUACACACGUGCUACAAUGGUUGGUACAACGAGUUGCGAGUCGGUGACGGCGAGCUAAUCUCUUAAAGCCAAUCUCAGUUCGGAUUGUAGGCUGCAACUCGCCUACAUGAAGUCGGAAUCGCUAGUAAUCGCGGAUCAGCACGCCGCGGUGAAUACGUUCCCGGGCCUUGUACACACCGCCCGUCACACCACGAGAGUUUGUAACACCCGAAGUCGGUGAGGUAACCUUUUGGAGCCAGCCGCCUAAGGUGGGACAGAUGAUUGGGGUGAAGUCGUAACAAGGUA
rnacentral:rRNA from 1 species